rnacentral:rRNA from 1 species
UACGUAGGGUGCAAGCGUUGUCCGGAAUUAUUGGGCGUAAAGAGCUCGUAGGCGGUUUGUUGCGUCGGCUGUGAAAACCUGAGGCUCAACCUCAGGCCUGCAGUCGAUACGAGCAGACUAGAGUGUUGCAGGGGGAGACUGGAAUUCCUGGUGUAGCGGUGAAAUGCGCAGAUAUCAGGAGGAACACCGAUGCGAAGGCAGGUCUCUGGGCCAUAACUGACGCUGAGACGCGAAAAGCCGUGGGG